UUGAGGCAAGCUGUGCAAAUGCUGCUGCCAGCCCGCAGACAAUGGCUCCAUUGUUCUGCACAGCGUUGAUUUGGGAGCAAUCUCAGAGGAUCCCGCAAGGAAUAAAAGGAUCUGCUUCUGAAGAGAAAUAAGCCAGGGAAGAUGUACAGAAAUAGAUGCAUGAAUGAAAUAAGCUUCCAGAAAAAGCCAACAGCAAUAGACCAGUCUUGACAGGGAGCAUUAAUCACUUCCUUAAAACACAAAACCUGGAUUCAUGGCUACACCAAGCACCUGUCCAUGCAUACAUUUGAGAAGGAAAAAAGGCUACAGCCACUUCACACUGUCAGAGCAGUGUUUGAGGCCACAUUAAGUGAGGCCAAAUUCAGAUCAAUUUCUUAAAUAGCUCACCCCUACCCUAUGGGGCAAUCCCUCUGCACAGCACACCAGCCAGCAGCACAGGGAGCUCUGCAGCUCUCAGGCACCCCCUUGCCAAGGACAGGAGAAGCCAGAAGGCAACACAUCUGGCAGAGCUUUGCCAGGAAAAGAAAGGCUGCUUCAGUGAAAGAAAGGCUCAAAAAUGGUAGAUAACAGGCCAGAGAAGGGA